GCAGACAGGAAGUUUGGAUGUACACAUGCAGCCUAUUCUUGUUCCCCCACCCAAAACCCCAGCGCCCAAAGCCUGAAACUGGGGGAAGGGAGGCAGAAGGAGAGGAGGGUUUGGGUUGGGGGGAAUUUUAAACUGACUCCGAGUCUGGCCGCCUUGGUUCCCUCGGAGAUUGGAAACCUUUUUCUUCCCUCGAGUGUUUCACCCCCACCGGCUGCAAAGGGCCUUGUCCCUUGAGAAAUGAGAAAUCAAAUCCAGAGAAAAGCAGACACCUGCCCCGGAAGGGGGAGGGGGCGAGCUUUUCAGCAUCCGGACGCGGCCCUUCCCGGCGGCUGGAUCCAUCCAUCUGUGGGAGCUCCGAGUUGUCCCAGCCGAGCGGUUGGGGAGGAGGACAGCCGGCGGCCGGGGCCGGGCAAAGUUACGGGAUUCCUAGCAGCCCCCAGGCGCGCGGCCAGAGUGGCUCCGCGCUUGCGCGAGAACCCAGCGCCAGAAGCUAACGGAAAAAGUUGCAUCCAAAAGCUCAAGGAACACGGAAAGCGCUCACGCAGUCGAAGCCGCCCUUGGUGCCUCCCUGCCCCUUACCCAGAGGCCGAACACCCCCUUGACAGCGCUCCUUGUCACAAAGAGAAGGUCUACUCGAUCCAGACCGCUGCGCUGUUAGAACAGGCAACUCCUCCGCUCCUGAACAAGUAGUCUCUUACAAAACCGAGGCGCCGGUGGAGCCUGCCUUUAAUGGGGUCCUCACUCCGAGGUGCUGGAAGACCAUCCGGUCUGGAACCUAAAAGGAGGAGAUCUGGCGCUAGCGGGGUGGGGAGAGGCGAAUAAAAGCACCUUUGGGGAGGCAAAAGUGUCACACCUGGAGCAAGAAGCACAUGGGCACUGAAAUUCUAAUAGUUGGGGAAAGGAGACUUCAACGUGUGUGUGUGUGAGGGGGGGUGUAGCCUGACUUCUGGCUCUAGGUAUGAGACGUUGGGGUGUAUGUGUGUAUGUGUGUCCCAAGGUGAAUAAAAGUCGGACUCCCCCUGGAUUGUGGGGACUCAGCCUUUCUCUUCCUCUUUCUUCACUCCUUCUCCCGCCCUAUUGGGAGGAGAAGGUGGACCGACACCCCGCCCCCCCACCGCCACCCAAGUCUUGCAAGUGGCUGUGGUCGACAGAGGGCCGGGGCGCCCCCGCCCCCCGCCACUUCUCCGCCC
ensembl:lncRNA